CAUGGAGGCCUUGGCUUUGCAGCAGUUGACGGUCUCAGUCUCCAUCUCUUCUCAAGGGUGGCUACCACUGACGGCACUCUAGUCUGGACGCUUUGCCGGGCCAUUGAUCUGAACAAGUUUCUUACGCCGGAUGUGGUGGUGAGCUGUAAGACGUUUUCAAUGGAGGCAAUUGGCGUCGCUGAAGGUGCUGAUGUGGUUUUCAUUUAUGCGUGUAAAUGCGCCUACAUGCUUCAUCUCAAGUCUAUGCAGUUUGAUGAGGUGUCCGUUAAAGGAACCUAUGCCAGCAUUUUUCCAUACACCAGUUUCUAUACCCCGGUACUACCAUGUCUUUUAUCCUCUAGGAAUGAUAAAGUGUAG
rnacentral:rRNA from 1 species